GUGUUCGCUUCAGCAACACCUACACUAAAAUUGGACCAGUAUAGAGAUUAGCAUGGCCCUGAGCAAGGCCUGACAAGCAAAUGCGUGAAGCGGUCCAUAUUUUU
ensembl:snRNA U6 U6 spliceosomal RNA